GAAUAUUGCACAAUGGGCGAAAGCCUGAUGCAGCGACGCCGCGUGCGGGAUGACGGCCUUCGGGUUGUAAACCGCUUUCAGGAGGGACGAAAUUGACGGUACCUCCAGAAGAAGCCCCGGCCAACUACGUGCCAGCAGCCGCGGUAACACGUAGGGGGCGAGCGUUGUCCGGAUUUAUUGGGCGUAAAGGGCUCGUAGGUGGUUCAGCAAGUCAACUGUGAAAGUCCGGGGCUCAACCCCGGGACGGCAGUCGAAACUGCUGUGACUAGGGUCCGGUAGAGGUGAGUGGAAUUCUCGGUGUAGCGGUGAAAUGCGCAGAUAUCGAGAGGAACACCAGUAGCGAAGGCGGCUCACUGGGCCGGUACCGACACUGAGGAGCGAAAGCGUGGGGAGCAAACAGG
rnacentral:rRNA from 1 species